rnacentral:ncRNA from 1 species
AUUUUAAUUAAGAAGGCAACUCUUAACUAGGCCAUUUAAAGAAAAACCGAGAGGUUCAAGCUUAAAGGGCAGAAAGGUGGACCUAGUAGCGCUAGAAUAGUUCAUCGAUACGGCUUGGCGGUAGCGCCUAAAACGACGAGCCAA